GCUGACUAGGAGACCCUCCAUCUGGCACACAAGCCAGGGACCGUCAUUCCCACCCACCUCCACACCUCCAGUCCCAACAGGGGUGACUAGCUGGGACCAUACUUGGGUGCCCACAUUUAAAAAAAAUUUAGAAGAAUUAUGAAAAAGCUCCUUUGCUCUGCUAUUUCAGACACUGUGUCGGGGCGCAGUAGGCCGGCUCAUUCCAUUCAACCCCCACCCCAACCCCAGAGAAUCCAACCAGCACCAGCACCAGCACCAGCACCAGCACCAGCACCAGCACCAGCGCUGUUAGUCUUAAAGUAGAAUAUCUAAGAGGUCAUCACACUGGGAGAAGGAACGCAAGUCCUCGGAUGGAUAAUUUCAUUCUGGCUGCUGAAAUGAGAGUGGCCAGCCUUACCACAAUCAGUGAAUCUUUGAUGAUGUCUACAGAUGAGUUCUAAUCCUUGCCCACUUUAUGAUCCAGGCUCUGACAAACAACCACAUGGGGAAAAUGCUACCUUUCGUCUACUCCAGUCUUCUUCAAGACCCUCUAUACUACGUUUCUUCAAACCUGGAACAUAGGUAGAGAUUAUGAAACCAGUGGGGGAGUUAUUAUUCUGCAUUGCAGCAUGCGCUCGUUCUAUUAUAGACGCAGAGUUCAUUGAUGAAUGGUGAUGGCACUGCAAAUCAAGUCAACAGCUUAAUUAGCUCAGCGGGACUCAAGGAUGCUUUUCUUGCUGGGUGCCACUGGAUGGCUAUACCAUACCUAGACCCACACCUUGAGGAUUGCGAACUCUGAAUCUACAAACCUGAUACUCAGUGUUGUGUGUGCAUGAAACUUACUGUGGAGGACACUGGCCUAUGUACAGCUCACCUCCCCUCUACGGAGCAGAGCACACCACACUGUCUCUCAGACUUCAGCACAGUUAAACCUCCAUCUCUCUGAAACGUUCGGAUGACACUGCCUUCAUGAAGAUGAGCAUCGCUUACUUGCUCCUGUUAUUUUGAGCCCUCAAAGUCUAAUCUGAAUCUCAGUAUCAAUGCUCGUGUUGACCAUUGUGAUAUCUGAAUGCUCUCCCCUGAUACCAAUUUCCAGAUUGUUCCUUUCCUCUAACAUAGUAGUAUGUGGUUGUUGAAGGAUUUUGUUAUCAUUCCUGUAAGUGGCUAAAAAAUGCUUUGUGGAAGUAUAAUAUCUUAAUGUGUAUAUAUUUAUUUAUAUACAAUUUAAUUUAUAUAUUUUUAUAUACAAUUGUCACGUGUAUAGGACCUUAAUUUACAGUAAGAUGCAGAAAUAUAUGCCAGCAUCUGUAGCUCUGCAGCAAUCUUACCAUUUAUUUCUUGAUCAUCCUGAGGCUCCUCUACACAGUAUACCUGGAAUGAGUCCACAACAUCCUCCUUGUUCACGCUCCAGUACACUGCAAUUGUUGUGCUGGUAGCAGAGCUUGGUUCCUGGGGUUCUAGUCUGGGAGGCUGUGGAACUGGAAGGAAACACAAUUCACUAUGACUAAUGCUAUUUUACUGACUGUUGUGUUUAAAACAUGUUCAAUGUGUUGUUAAAAAAAAAAAACCAACAA